UUUAUGGAGAGUUUGAUCCUGGCUCAGGAUGAACGCUGGCGGCGUGCCUAAUACAUGCAAGUCGAGCGAACGGACGAGAAGCUUGCUUCUCUGAUGUUAGCGGCGGACGGGUGAGUAACACGUGGAUAACCUACCUAUAAGACUGGGAUAACUUCGGGAAACCGGAGCUAAUACCGGAUAAUAUUUUGAACCGCAUGGUUCAAAAGUGAAAGACGGUCUUGCUGUCACUUAUAGAUGGAUCCGCGCUGCAUUAGCUAGUUGGUAAGGUAACGGCUUACCAAGGCAACGAUGCAUAGCCGACCUGAGAGGGUGAUCGGCCACACUGGAACUGAGACACGGUCCAGACUCCUACGGGAGGCAGCAGUAGGGAAUCUUCCGCAAUGGGCGAAAGCCUGACGGAGCAACGCCGCGUGAGUGAUGAAGGUCUUCGGAUCGUAAAACUCUGUUAUUAGGGAAGAACAUAUGUGUAAGUAACUGUGCACAUCUUGACGGUACCUAAUCAGAAAGCCACGGCUAACUACGUGCCAGCAGCCGCGGUAAUACGUAGGUGGCAAGCGUUAUCCGGAAUUAUUGGGCGUAAAGCGCGCGUAGGCGGUUUUUUAAGUCUGAUGUGAAAGCCCACGGCUCAACCGUGGAGGGUCAUUGGAAACUGGAAAACUUGAGUGCAGAAGAGGAAAGUGGAAUUCCAUGUGUAGCGGUGAAAUGCGCAGAGAUAUGGAGGAACACCAGUGGCGAAGGCGACUUUCUGGUCUGUAACUGACGCUGAUGUGCGAAAGCGUGGGGAUCAAACAGGAUUAGAUACCCUGGUAGUCCACGCCGUAAACGAUGAGUGCUAAGUGUUAGGGGGUUUCCGCCCCUUAGUGCUGCAGCUAACGCAUUAAGCACUCCGCCUGGGGAGUACGACCGCAAGGUUGAAACUCAAAGGAAUUGACGGGGACCCGCACAAGCGGUGGAGCAUGUGGUUUAAUUCGAAGCAACGCGAAGAACCUUACCAAAUCUUGACAUCCUUUGACAACUCUAGAGAUAGAGCUUUCCCCUUCGGGGGACAAAGUGACAGGUGGUGCAUGGUUGUCGUCAGCUCGUGUCGUGAGAUGUUGGGUU
rnacentral:rRNA from 1 species